rnacentral:rRNA from 1 species
UACGUAGGGCGCAAGCGUUGUCCGGAAUUAUUGGGCGUAAAGAGCUCGUAGGCGGUCUGUCACGUCUGCUGUGAAAACCCGGGGCUUAACCCCGGGCUUGCAGUGGAUACGGGCAGACUAGAGGCAGGUAGGGGAGAAUGGAAUUCCCGGUGUAGCGGUGAAAUGCGUAGAUAUCGUAAGGAAGACCAGUGGCGAAGGCGGGUCUCUGGACAGUACCUGACGCUGAGGCACGAAGGCCAGGGGAGCAAACGGG